AACCUGCCUAUAAGACUGGGAUAACUUCGGGAAACCGGAGCUAAUACCGGAUACGUUCUUUUCUCGCAUGAGAGAAGAUGGAAAGACGGUUUACGCUGUCACUUAUAGAUGGGCCCGCGGCGCAUUAGCUAGUUGGUGAGGUAAUGGCUCACCAAGGCGACGAUGCGUAGCCGACCUGAGAGGGUGAUCGGCCACACUGGGACUGAGACACGGCCCAGACUCCUACGGGAGGCAGCAGUAGGGAAUCUUCCGCAAUGGACGAAAGUCUGACGGAGCAACGCCGCGUGAACGAAGAAGGCCUUCGGGUCGUAAAGUUCUGUUGUUAGGGAAGAACAAGUACCAGAGUAACUGCUGGUACCUUGACGGUACCUAACCAGAAAGCCACGGCUAACUACGUGCCAGCAGCCGCGGUAAUACGUAGGUGGCAAGCGUUGUCCGGA
rnacentral:rRNA from 1 species